UAUAUUCGCGUUCAUCCUCCCCUAUCUCGUUUCCUUUUCACCCGAACUCCGAGACAAAACCGAACCCGAUCGAAACCAAACCCGACUCGAAGCUAUUCGCCGGAACCGCCACCUGCCACCGUCUUCACCAUCUCCGGCCACCACCUUCGUCGUCGUCCGGGUAAUCUUCUUGUGCACGCCUCUUGGGAAAUCUAUUAUUCUUAUUCUUAUCUUAUUCCAAGAAUACGCAACGCACUCUAAGGUUGAGGAUCCAAGAAAAACAAGAAAAGACUAGGAUGGCUUAGAAACCCAUCAACUAUUUAAAUUUCCAAAUCUAUGUUAUGUAUUUGAACUUUUCUAUGUAUCGUA